UGUGUUUAUGGGGACUUCGAGUAAGACUUC
rnacentral:piRNA from 1 species